AGCGUACAGCUGUGACAUUUGUGGAAAAACUUUUACACAGUCUUCAAGCUUAAAAACACACCAACUCCUCCACAGUGGAGUUAAAGCGUACAGCUGUGACAUUUGUGGAAAAACUUUCAGCCAGUUAGGGUACCGAAAUAUUCACCUGCGCAUUCACACUGGACAUAAUGUUUACUGCUGUGAUCAGUGUGGCAAACUGUUUACAACAAAUGCACAGUUACAAAGCCACAUGUUUACCCACACUGAGGAGAGACCUUAUAAAUGUGACCUGUGUGAUAAAGUUUUUAAACAUCCAGAUUAUCUCAAAUCACACCAACAGAUCCACGCCAGAAAGAGACUCUACAAGUGCAGUUACUGUGAGAAGCAGAGCGACACAGAUGGAUCCAGUUCUCAACCCUGUCGUCACUGUGGUGGUGGGAAAGAGUUUCGCUGUGACCUUUGUGGAAAAACUUUCAGUUACCGAAGGAGCCUAAAAGUACAUCAACGUAGACACACUGGAGACAAAAUGAACUACUGCAAAGAAUGUGGGAGUGGCUUUACAACAUCAAGUGCAUUCAAAAAACAUGAACUCUGUCACAGUGGGGUUAAAGACCACCUCUGUGACCAGUGUGGGUCAUCCUUCACCACUGCAGAUCAUCUUAAAGAGCAUAAAAGAGUGCACACAGGAGAGAAACCAUACAAGUGCAGACACUGUGACAAAAGUUUCUCACGUUCAUCUGGUCGUAACAAACAUGAACGUACACACAUGGAAGAGAACUUCAGUUGUGACCAGUGUGACAAGAGCUUCAAGAAUUUCAUUUCAUACUCCAGACACAAACGAUCCCACGCUGUAAAUAAACUGUUUCACUGUUACCAAUGUGCAAAAACAUUCACUUCAUUAUCUGCUCUGCGCAAACAUCAGCGUGAUCAUGCAGAA